GUAGAUAUAGUUCAAUGGUAGAACAGCUGUAUGUGGCACAGUCAAUCCUUGUUCAAAUCAAGGUAUCUUCC